GCAUAUCAAUAAGCGGAGGAAAAGAAACCAACAGGGAUUGCCUCAGUAACGGCGAGUGAAGCGGCAAAAGCUCAAAUUUGAAAUCCUUCGGGAGUUGUAAUUUGUAGGUUGGGAGACCCCGCGGCUAGUGGCACCAAGUCCCUUGGAACAGGGCGCCUUAGAGGGUGAGAGCCCCGUAGGUACCACAAUACCGUCUUGUGUCUCCUCUCCAAAGAGUCGAGUUGUUUGGGAAUGCAGCUCAAAGUGGGUGGUAAAUUCCAUCUAAAGCUAAAUACCGGCGAGAGACCGAUAGCGAACAAGUACAGUGAUGGAAAGAUGAAAAGCACUUUGAAAAGAGAGUGAAACAGUACGUGAAAUUGUUGAAAGGGAAGGGCUUGCAAGCAGACACGGCCUUCGUGCCGGGCCAGCAUCGGUUGCUAGGGGUGGAUAAGGAACAAGGAAUGUAGCUCCUCGGAGUAUUAUAGCCUUGCGCGAUACACCCACUGGCGACCGAGGCCUGCGGUAUUCUUUACCUAGGAUGCUGGCGUAAUGGUUGCAAGCCGCCCGUCUUGAAACACGGACC
rnacentral:rRNA from 1 species